AUUGAACGCUGGCGGCAGGCCUAACACAUGCAAGUCGAACGAGUGGCGGACGGGUGAGUAAUGUCUGGGACACUGCCCGAUGGAGGGGGGUAACUACUGGAAACGGUAGCUAAUACCGCAUACCAUCGGAUGUGCCCAGGUGGGGUUAGCUUGUAGGUGGGGUGACGGCUCACCUAGGCGACGAUCCCGAGCUGGUCUGAGAGGAUGACCAGCCACACUGGACAUGGGACACGGUCCAGACUCCUACGGGAGGCAGCAGUGGGGAAGAUUGCACAAUGGGCGCAAGCCUGAUGCAGCCAUGCCGCGUGUAUGAAGAAGGCCGUCGGGUUGUAAAGUACUUUCAGCGAGGAGGCGUUACUCGCAGAAGAAGCACCGGCUAACUCCGUGCCAGCAGCCGCGGUAAUAC
rnacentral:rRNA from 1 species